CACCCAGCUGGCACGGCUGCCCAUAAAUCUCACAUUUCAAGUGAUUCCUCCAACAUUAUAAAGAUUGGGAAAUUGUGUUGAGGAUGAAAUCGACAAUGAGCUUCUGCCUGGUAGCUGGGAAAAUGAUUAUUGCUGACCCCUUUCUGUCUUUGAAUUACUGCUUAGCUUUCUGUCUGGACAUAUGGAAAGAAGAACUCUUUGGGGAACGCUGCCAGAUAAAGCUGGCUUACCUUGGAUUCCUGAACGGAUGGAUACUUCAUGGAGUGAAGACUGUGACAGCUCAGCUCCUGAAGUCUGGCUAUCACCGCAGAGAGAACAUACCUGCCAUUCACUACAUCUAUGAAGAUCAGCAACCUUUUGGGUUCAUCAGCCUGACUUAAAUGAGAUGGAAAGUCAAGAGGAAGGACAAGAAUAGAGAAACAACCCACAGCCAGACCAUUUCACCUUCUCAUUCUCCUACUUCCAUGUGUCCCAAAUCCUUAACCAUCUUAGAGAAACAGAAGACCCUGCAGCAGAGUCUGUUGCCAUGAUUUUAGCAGGAUCCCUUGGGGGUUCUGCAGCCUUGGUCCUCCUUGGCCAAGAUGGAGUGUGGGGGUGAAUGCAAGAGUGGGUUGGUCUUGGGUACUAGUCUCCUUGUAGCUGUUACACCACUGUACAACUGAUGAUGAAAAACAGACUCUGAUUAUGUCAUUAAUGUAGAAUCACUUACUGUGUUGCCCCAAUUUUUUUAGUUUCUGUGUUUUCAGAAACAAGAUGCAUUUUCAUCACCUCACUUCUAUCUGUGCUCCAGUGACACUGUCACACCACACCAUUCUGCAAACACCAUGUACCUUCGUGACUAUGAGUGUCUUUAUAUCCACACUUGUUCUGCCUGGCAUCAGCUGUCCCGUCUCUGCCCCUAGGCAGUUCUUACUCAUCAUUGCAGGUCCAACUCAAACACUGCCUCCUCUAAGAAGCCAGAGAUCCAUGGAUUAUUUUCCUUAACUCUAUCCUUAUCAAAUUGGCAUAGAGCAAACAUUCAUUUGAAUGUGUGUGCUUUUCACUAAACUCUCAAUUUCUUGAGGACAUGGAAUCUGAUAUUCAAUUUUUAAAAAACACUCCAUUACUAACACACUCUUUGGUUUAUAAAAUAUAUCCAAUAUAGGUUUACAGAAUGAAGGAAUGACUGAAAAAAACACAGUCAAAAAGAAAAGGGAAGUUUUCAACAAGUACUGAAAAGAAAUGAUUACCAUCCCUAACAUAUAAAGAUAUUUUUCAAAUAAUAAGAUAAAUACAAACAUAAGAGAAAAGCAGGCAAAGGACAAACGAUGACAAUUAAUUAAGGAAGAAAUACAGAUAGCAGAUAGAACUUAUGAACAUUUUCCAACUUCAUUAUUACCA
rnacentral:lncRNA from 12 species